ACAAGGAGGAGUACAAUACAAGUUUGUUGAAUGAAUGAACACGGGUUUCCUGACUCCUGGGCUCCGAAACCACAGCUUUUUCCCUUCAUCUCUUACCAGGAACCCAGAGAGAGACUAAGGAGAUACGAAAGUGAAAUGGGCUCAGCAGCCAGGAAAGCCUCAUGUGAAUGAGUGGCAGGAACUCCUUGACCUUCUGGCACAAACAUUCAAAAUUGGGUUCCAGUCAGUUGGUGCAGGAAGAUCUCUCAAGAGGGCCUGUGGCUUGUCCCCACCAUCUGUGGUGCAGAGAUGAUCAUUCUCCCUGCCGUCUCAGGGACAUAA